CACGUAGGGCGCAAGCGUUGUCCGGAAUUAUUGGGCGUAAAGAGCUCGUAGGCGGUCUGUUGCGUCCGCUGUGAAAACUCGGGGCUUAACCCCGAGCCUGCAGUGGAUACGGGCAGACUAGAGGUAGUUAGGGGAGAAUGGAAUUCCCGGUGUAGCGGUGAAAUGCGCAGAUAUCGGGAAGAACACCCGUGGCGAAGGCGGCACUCUGGGACGGUACUGACGCUGAGACGCGAAAGCGUGGGGAGCGAACAGG
rnacentral:rRNA from 1 species